rnacentral:rRNA from 1 species
CCGGGACCAUCCGGUAAGGCUAAAUACUCCCGAGAGACCGAUAGCGAACCAGUACCGUGAGGGAAAGGUGAAAAGCACUUCGAACAGAAGAGUGAAAUAGUUCCUGAAACCGUGCGCCUACAAGCGGUCGGAGCUCGUUAAUGAGUGACGGCGUGCCUUUUGCAUAAUGAACCUACGAGUUGCCUUUGCCGGCAAGGUUAAGUGUGACGACACACGUAUCCGAAGCGAAAGCGAGUCUGAACAGGGCGUAUAGUCGGCAGUGGCAGACGCGAAACCAAGUGAUCUACCCUUGGCCAGGUUGAAGGCUGGGUAACACCAGCUGGAGGACCGCACCAAUAAGCGUUGAAAAGCUUCUGGAUGAGCUGAGGGUAGGGGUGAAAGGCUAAUCAAACUUGGAGAUAGCUCGUACUCCCCGAAAUGCAUUUAGGUGCAGCCUUGCGGGUUACUGAUGUGAGGUAGAGCGACUGAUAAGAUGCGAGGGCUUCACCGCCUAUCAAGUCUUGACAAACUCCGAAUGCGCAUCAGUUCUACCGCAGGAGUGAGGGCAUGGGUGCUAAGGUCCGUGCCCGAGAGGAGAAGAAUCCGGACCACCUGCUAAGGUCCCGAAAUGACAGCUAAGUUAAACUAACGAAGUCUGACUGCUAAGACAGCUAGGAUGUUGGCUUGGAAGCAGCCAUUCAUUUAAAGAGUGCGUAACAGCUCACUAGUCGAGGAGUCGGGCGUGGAUAAUAAUCGGGUAUCAAGUUGUCUACCGAAGCAGUGGGAUCAUUAAUAUGAUCGGUAGGGGAGCAUUCCAGUCAGCGUCGAAGGCGUACCGUGAGGUAUUCUGGAGCGUCUGGAAAAGCAAAUGUAGGUAUAAGUAACGAUAAAGGGGGCGGGAAACCCCCUCGCCGAAAGACUAAGGUUUCCUGAUCAACGCUAAUCGGAUCAGGGUCAGUCGGGUCCUAAGGCUCAGCCGAACGGCGAUGCCGAUGGCAGAAACGGUUAAUAUUCCGUUACUACCUUCAGGAGUGACGUGGAGACGCAGUAGUGACAGUGCCGCCAUCUGACGGAAUAGAUGGUUGAAGGGUGUAGGAGUCGAUCAUGGCAGGCAAAUCCACCAUGAGAUCCGAACCUGACAGUAUGCCGCGUCCUUCGGGACAAGGCAAUAGUGCGCGUAAGCAUGCUGCCGAGAAAAUCCGCUAAACUUAAUCCUGCAGGUACCCGUACCGCAAACGGACACACGUAGUCGGGAUGAAUAUUCUAAGGCGCUUGAGUGAUUCACGGUUAAGGAACUAGGCAAACUGACCCUGUAACUUCGGGAUAAAGGGUCCCUACCCUUUUAUGGGAGGGCGCAGAGAAUCGGUCCAGGCAACUGUUUAACAAAAACACAGGGCUGUGCCAAAUCGAAAGAUCCAGUAUACAGCCUGACACCUGCCCGGUGCUGGAAGGUUAAGAGGAGAUGUCAUCGAUAAGAGAAGCGUUGAAUUGAAGCCCCAGUAAACGGCGGCCGUAACUAUAACGGUCCUAAGGUAGCGAAAUUCCUUGUCGGGUAAGUUCCGACCUGCACGAAUGGUGUAAUGAUCUGGACGCUGUCUCAACCGUGAGCUCAGUGAAAUUGUAGUAUCGGUGAAGAUGCCGAUUACCCGCGAUGGGACGAAAAGACCCCGUGAACCUUUACUAUAGCUUAUCAUUGAAUCUGGGCACGUGAUGUGUAGGAUAGGUCGGAGGCUUUGAAGCAGGUACGCCAGUAUUUGUGGAGCCGCUGUUGAAAUACGACCCUUUAUUUGUUUGGAUUCUAACCCGUGGAUACGGGGACAUUGAUUGGUGGGUAGUUUGACUGGGGUGGUCGCCUCCAAAAGCGUAACGGAGGCUUCUAAAGGUGCCCUCCGGCCGAUUGGUAACCGGCCUUAGAGUGUAAUGGCAUAAGGGCGCUUGACUGGGAGACUGACAAGUCGAUCAGGUAGGAAACUAGAGCAUAGUGAUCCGGUGUUUCCGCAUGGAAGGGACAUCGCUCAAAGGAUAAAAGGUACUCCGGGGAUAACAGGCUGAUC